rnacentral:rRNA from 1 species
CAUAGGUUAAUGAGGCGAACCGGGGGAACUGAAACAUCUAAGUACCCCGAGGAAAAGAAAUCAACCGAGAUUCCCCCAGUAGCGGCGAGCGAACGGGGAGCAGCCCAGAGCCUGAAUCAGUGUGUGUGUUAGUGGAAGCGUCUGGAAAGGCGCGCGAUACAGGGUGACAGCCCCGUACACAAAAAUGCACAUGCUGUGAGCUCGAUGAGUAGGGCGGGACACGUGGUAUCCUGUCUGAAUAUGGGGGGACCAUCCUCCAAGGCUAAAUACUCCUGACUGACCGAUAGUGAACCAGUACCGUGAGGGAAAGGCGAAAAGAACCCCGGCGAGGGGAGUGAAAAAGAACCUGAAACCGUGUACGUACAAGCAGUGGGAGCACGCUUAGGCGUGUGACUGCGUACCUUUUGUAUAAUGGGUCAGCGACUUAUAUUCUGUAGCAAGGUUAACCGAAUAGGGGAGCCGAAGGGAAACCGAGUCUUAACUGGGCGUUAAGUUGCAGGGUAUAGACCCGAAACCCGGUGAUCUAGCCAUGGGCAGGUUGAAGGUUGGGUAACACUAACUGGAGGACCGAACCGACUAAUGUUGAAAAAUUAGCGGAUGACUUGUGGCUGGGGGUGAAAGGCCAAUCAAACCGGGAGAUAGCUGGUUCUCCCCGAAAGCUAUUUAGGUAGCGCCUCGUGAAUUCAUCUCCGGGGGUAGAGCACUGUUUCGGCAAGGGGGUCAUCCCGACUUACCAACCCGAUGCAAACUGCGAAUACCGGAGAAUGUUAUCACGGGAGACACACGGCGGGUGCUAACGUCCGUCGUGAAGAGGGAAACAACCCAGACCGCCAGCUAAGGUCCCAAAGUCAUGGUUAAGUGGGAAACGAUGUGGGAAGGCCCAGACAGCCAGGAUGUUGGCUUAGAAGCAGCCAUCAUUUAAAGAAAGCGUAAUAGCUCACUGGUCGAGUCGGCCUGCGCGGAAGAUGUAACGGGGCUAAACCAUGCACCGAAGCUGCGGCAGCGACGCUUAUGCGUUGUUGGGUAGGGGAGCGUUCUGUAAGCCUGCGAAGGUGUACUGUGAGGUAUGCUGGAGGUAUCAGAAGUGCGAAUGCUGACAUAAGUAACGAUAAAGCGGGUGAAAAGCCCGCUCGCCGGAAGACCAAGGGUUCCUGUCCAACGUUAAUCGGGGCAGGGUGAGUCGACCCCUAAGGCGAGGCCGAAAGGCGUAGUCGAUGGGAAACAGGUUAAUAUUCCUGUACUUGGUGUUACUGCGAAGGGGGGACGGAGAAGGCUAUGUUGGCCGGGCGACGGUUGUCCCGGUUUAAGCGUGUAGGCUGGUUUUCCAGGCAAAUCCGGAAAAUCAAGGCUGAGGCGUGAUGACGAGGCACUACGGUGCUGAAGCAACAAAUGCCCUGCUUCCAGGAAAAGCCUCUAAGCAUCAGGUAACAUCAAAUCGUACCCCAAACCGACACAGGUGGUCAGGUAGAGAAUACCAAGGCGCUUGAGAGAACUCGGGUGAAGGAACUAGGCAAAAUGGUGCCGUAACUUCGGGAGAAGGCACGCUGAUAUGUAGGUGAAGUCCCU